AGUACGGCCGCAAGGCUAAAACUCAAAGGAAUUGACGGGGGCCCGCACAAGCGGCGGAGCAUGCGGAUUAAUUCGAUGCAACGCGAAGAACCUUACCAAGGCUUGACAUAUACUGGACCGCAUCAGAGAUGGUGUUUCCCUUCGGGGCUGGUAUACAGGUGGUGCAUGGUUGUCGUCAGCUCGUGUCGUGAGAUGUUGGGUUAAGUCCCGCAACGAGCGCAACCCUUGCCCUAUGUUGCCAGCACGUGAUGGUGGGGACUCGUGGGGGACUGCCGGGGUUAACUCGGAGGAAGGUGGGGAUGACGUCAAAUCAUCAUGCCCCUUAUGUCUUGGGCUUCACGCAUGCUACAAUGGCCGGUACAGAGGGUUGCGAUACUGUGAGGUGGAGCUAAUCCCUAAAAGCCGGUCUCAGUUCGGAUUGGGGUCUGCAACUCGACCCCAUGAAGUCGGAGUCGCUAGUAAUCGCAGAUCAGCAACGCUGCGGUGAAUACGUUCCCGGGCCUUGUACACACCGCCCGUCAAGUCACGAAAGUUGGUAACACCCAAAGCCGGUGGCCUAACCCUUUUGGGAGGGAGCCGUCUAAGGUGGGAUUGGCGAUUGGGACUAAGUCGUAACAAGGUAGCCGUACCGGAAGGUGCGGCUG
rnacentral:rRNA from 1 species